rnacentral:rRNA from 1 species
GGCGAACUGGUGAGUAAUACAUGGGUAACCUGCCCUGGAGAUCGGGAUAGCAGCUGGAAACGGCUGGUAAUACCGGAUACGUUCCCCGGACCGCAUGAUCAGGGGAAGAAAGGUGGCCUAUCCGUGGAAGCUACCGCUCCUGGAGGGGCCCGUGGCUCAUUAGCUUGUUGGUGGGGUAACGGCCUACCAAGGCUACGAUGGGUAGCUGGUCUGAGAGGAUGAUCAGCCACACUGGGACUGAGAUACGGCCCAGACUCCUACAGGAGGCAGCAGUGAGGAAUUUUCCGCAAUGGACGAAAGUCUGACGGAGCGACGCCGCGUGGGUGAAGAAGGUUUUCGGAUCGUAAAGCCCUGUCAGGGGGAAAGAACCUCUACUAUGUGAAUAAUGUAGUAGACUGACGGUACCCCCAAAGGAAGCACCGGCCAACUACGUGCCAGCAGCCGCGGUAACACGUAGGGUGCAAGCGUUAUCCGGAAUUACU